GACGAACGCUGGCGGCGUGCUUAACACAUGCAAGUCGAACGGAAAGGCCCUGCUUUUGGGGGGUGCUCGAGUGGCGAACGGGUGAGUAACACGUGAGUAACCUGCCCUUGACUUUGGGAUAACUUCAGGAAACUGGGGCUAAUACCGGAUAGGAGCUCCUGCUGCAUGGUGGGGGUUGGAAAGUUUCGGCGGUUGGGGAUGGACUCGCGGCUCAUCAGCUUGUUGGUGGGGUAGUGGCUUACCAAGGCUUUGACGCGUGGCCGGCCUGAGAGGGUGACCGGCCACGUUGGGUCUGAGCUGAGGCCCAGCCUCCUCCGGGAGGCAGCAGUGCGGAAUAUUGCACAAUGGGCGGGAGCCUGAUCCAGCACCGCCGCGUGCGGGAUAACGGCCUUCGGGUUGUAAACCGCUUUCGCCUGUGACGAAGCGUGAGUGACGGUAAUGGGUAAAGAAGCACCGGCUAACUACGUG
rnacentral:rRNA from 1 species